GAUGAAGAACGUAGCAAAAUGCGAUACUUGGUGUGAAUUGCAGAAUCCCGUGAACCAUCGAGUUUUUGAACGCAAGUUGCGCCCGAAGCCUUUUGGCCGAGGGCACGUCUGCCUGGGCGUCACGCAUCGCGUCGCCCCCCACAAUUCUCCGUAAAGGGAACAUGUGUUUUGGGGGCGGAUAUUGGUCUCCCGUGCUCAUGGCGUGGUUGGCCGAAAUAGGAGUCCUUUCGAUGGACGCACGAACUAGUGGUGGUCGUAAAAACCCUCGUCUUUUGUUUCGUGCUGUUGCUCGCAAGGUAAACUCUUUGAAAACCCCAAUGUGUCGUCUCUUGACGACGCUUCGACCGCGACCCCAGGUCAGGCGGGACUACCCGCUGAGUUUAAGCAUAUCAAUAAGCGGAGGA
rnacentral:misc_RNA from 1 species